UACUUUGAAGAUCAUCACUCAAACUAUCUGCAUCAAAAUGCAUUUAGAUCAUUGCAGAAUACGUUGCCUCCAUUACACUUAAAAUAUUAUUCCGUGUUAUAAAUGUCUCUGUUGUUGUACUCUGUUUAAGGCAAUUUGGUCACUGUAUCAGAAGGUUUGUGAGGGUCUAAAGCUGCUGAUGUAGAGCAAGUGCAAAUGUGAAGCCACCACUUGCAGCCUCUACCAUCUCAAAACCCCCAACUCAUUUUCCAAGGCGUUGCAAUGUGUGUAGCUAGGUGGAAGCAUCAAAGCCCAUUGCCCCUGAGCACAUUUGCUCACAACGGUCCCAUCCUACCUUGGCACUGCCCUGUGGACAUGUGAAAUUCCUCAGCUACAAGAGAAAGAAGAAGCAGGUGGCUCUCCACACAGCACACCUCGUGUGUUCAUCUGCUGCUUGCUUGAUGGACAAAAAUGCCUAUGAAAGAAGCAGGCAGUAAAUAAGAGCACGGAAGGGGUUUCACUCUGAAAAGAUCUGGCUCUCCUUGAAUCUGGGAUCUGAAGAGGACAGCAAUGGAGAUACAUCUUUACAAUGUGUCAUCUGUGGAUGAAAGUGUGCUCCACCGAAGCAGUCCUUUCUGAGCUACUGACUCGAAAUUGAGUUUGGUGGCCACAUCUCUGCAUGCCCAAGAAUUUGCCACGCACGUGGAUCACCUUUCCUGUGGGCAGAAGUGCUGGAUUUGGGCUGCAGAAUGGCUUCUUGGAAUUCCUUGGUCACGAAGUAGUAGCAGACGCUAUCCAGGCAGCAGUUGGACGUGGCAAUGCACCUCGUCAGGGCAAAGAAGUCCAUCAUGACCUGGAUCAGGAAACAGCUAGGUCCAACAUACUCCAUUAUGAACCUGAAAAGUAUCCCAAGGUAGGCUGGCAGAAAACAU